AUCCUGGCUCAGGAUGAACGCUGGCGGCGUGCUUAACACAUGCAAGUCGAACGAAGCACUUUUGGCGGAUUCUUCGGAUGAUGGAUUUAGUGACUGAGUGGCGGACGGGUGAGUAACGCGUGGGUAACCUGCCUCAUACAGGGGGAUAACAGUUAGAAAUGACUGCUAAUACCGCAUAAGCGCACAGUACCGCAUGGUACAGUGUGAAAAACUCCGGUGGUAUGAGAUGGACCCGCGUCUGAUUAGCUAGUUGGUGAGGUAACGGCCCACCAAGGCGACGAUCAGUAGCCGACCUGAGAGGGUGACCGGCCACAUUGGGACUGAGACACGGCCCAAACUCCUACGGGAGGCAGCAGUGGGGAAUAUUGCACAAUGGGGGAAACCCUGAUGCAGCGACGCCGCGUGAGUGAAGAAGUAUUUCGGUAUGUAAAGCUCUAUCAGCAGGGAAGAAAAUGACGGUACCUGACUAAGAAGCCCCGGCUAACUACGUG
rnacentral:rRNA from 1 species